UGUCCCUUUUAUGGAGGAUUGUCCUCCACCUCGGA
rnacentral:piRNA from 1 species